AACCCAAGUAUGUUGAAAAAUGCUGGGAUGAGCUGUGGAUCGGAGUGAAAGGCUAAUCAAGCCCGGAGAUAGCUGGUUCUCCUCGAAAGCUAUUUAGGUAGCGCCUCACGUAUCACCGUCGGGGGUAGAGCACUGUUUCGGCUAGGGGGCCAUCCCGGCUUACCAACCCGAGGCAAACUCCGAAUACCGAUGAGUGCAGCGUGGGAGACACACAGCGGGUGCUAACGUCCGUUGUGAAAAGGGAAACAACCCAGACCGUCAGCUAAGGCCCCCAAAUUCUGGUUAAGUGGGAAACGAUGUGGGAAGGCUUAGACAGCUAGGAGGUUGGCUUAGAAGCAGCCAUCCUUUAAAGAAAGCGUAAUAGCUCACUAGUCGAGUCGGCCUGCGCGGAAGAUGUAACGGGGCUCAAACCAGAUGCCGAAGCUACGGGUGUGCCUGCAUCACUUAAGGCUAUUCGAUUAACGUCGCGAAGCGACGUUCAAGCGCCCUCCGAACGUUGAGUCGGAGGAGCGGAUCAACAGAGUAGAUUUAAGGAUGCAGGCACGCGGUAGAGGAGCGUCGUGUAAGUCUGUGAAGGGGCGUUGAGAAGCGCGCUGGAGAUAUCACGAGUGCGAAUGCUGACAUGAGUAACGAUAAUGCGGGUGAAAACCCCGCACGCCGGAAGACCCAGGGUUUCUGUUCGACGUCAAUCGGAGCAGAGUGAGUCGGCCCCUAAGGCGAGGCCGAAAGGCGUAGUCGAUGGGAAACGGGUUAAUAUUCCCGUACCGGAUGUGAUUGCGAUGGGGGGACGAAGAAGGCUAGGUGAGCCAGGCGUUGGUUGUCCUGGUGAAAGCCGGUAGGCCGAGGGUUCAGGGAAAUCCGGAUCCUCAAGGCCGAGAGGCGAGACGAACAGACUACGGUCUGGAAGUCAUCGAUGCCACGCUUCCAGGAAAAGCCUCUAAGCUUCAGAUCACAUGCGACCGUACCCCAAACCGACACAGGUGGUCAGGGUGAGAAUCCCAAGGCGCUUGAGAGAACU
rnacentral:rRNA from 1 species